GACGGAGGGUGCAAGCGUUGUUCGGAUUGAUUGGGCGUAAAGAGCUCGUAGGCGGUGUGUCGCGUCGGCCGUGAAAACCUGCAGCUUAACUGUGGGCUUGCGGUCGAUACGGGCAUCACUGGAGUUCGGCAGGGGAGACUGGAAUUCCUGGUGUAGCGGUGAAAUGCGCAGAUAUCAGGAGGAACACCGGUGGCGAAGGCGGGUCUCUGGGCCGAUACUGACGCUGAGGAGCGAAAGCGUGGGGAGCGCACAGG
rnacentral:rRNA from 1 species